CAGUCGCCACGGGAAAACGCAGGUGGCAAGCGUUGUCCGGAAUUAUCGGGCGUAAAGCGCGCGCAGGCGGAUAGGUCAGUCUGUCUUAAAAGUUCGGGGCUUAACCCCGUGAUGGGAUGGAAACUGCCAAUCUAGAGUAUCGGAGAGGAAAGUGGAAUUCCUAGUGUAGCGGUGAAAUGCGUAGAUAUUAGGAAGAACACCAGUGGCGAAGGCGACUUUCUGGACGAAAACUGACGCUGAGGCGCGAAAGCCAGGGGAGCGAACAGGAUUAGAUACCCCCGUAGUCCCUGUCUCUUAUACA
rnacentral:rRNA from 1 species